rnacentral:rRNA from 1 species
AUUGAACGCUGGCGGCAGGCCUAACACAUGCAAGUCGGACGGUAGCACAGGGGAGCUUGCUCCUCGGGUGACGAGUGGCGGACGGGUGAGUAAUGUCUGGGGAUCUGCCCGAUAGAGAGGGAUAACCACUGGAAACGGUGGCUAAUACCGCGUAACGUCGCAAGACCAAAGAGGGGGACCUUCGGGCCUCUCACUUCCGGCUGAACCCAGAUGGGAUUAGCUAGUAGGCGGGGUAACGGCCCACCUAGGCGACGAUCCCUAGCUGGUCUGAGAGGAUGACCAGCCACACUGGAACUGAGACACGGUCCAGACUCCUACGGGAGGCAGCAGUGGGGAAUAUUGCACAAUGGGCGCAAGCCUGAUGCAGCCAUGCCGCGUGUAUGAAGAAGGCCUUCGGGUUGUAAAGUACUUUCAGCGGGGAGGAAGGCGAUGUGGUUAAUAACCGCGUCGAUUGACGUUACCCGCAGAAGAAGCACCGGCUAACUCCGUGCCAGCAGCCGCAGUAA